ACACACACACACACACACACACAUAUAUAUAUAUAUAUAUAUAUAUAUAUAUAUAUAUAUAUAUAUAUAUACGUAUAUAAUAUGUACAAUUGCCAGUAUCUAAAACAACCCGAUCCCCGGGAGAGAGAUACAGAGAGACCUGCAAGUCCUGCAGGCCUACAGCAGAACAGAUUAGCCAAUACUAACAUCGAAUUGCAGCCAUUUAUUUUACCGUCUGUGUUAUUGGUUUAUUUUCUAGUGACAACCAUUGUUAACGUAUUGCUCCCCAUGUCGGUUUUGAUAGCAUCUUGGUCUGAAAUGUCAGAUUUAGCUAAACACUGAUUCUUAUCUCCAGUCCUAGGGCGAGUUUGAAGGACACACCAUGUAGGCCAAUUGUGGAAAAAAUGAAGCCUCGUGUUCAGAAAUGGAGUCCAAAACACAUCAUUAAUGGGUAUAUGAAGACAUUUUGAUCCUCACAGAUGUCUUGACACAAUGAGGGCAUGUGAAGAUUCUUCAGUCCCGUGAUUGUGACGCAAGAAUCUAAUAAGGGACAGAUUUCCCCCUCAUGUUAUAAUAUUAACUGAUGCUUAUCUGGAGACUCCUGUGUGGAUAUUAAUAUGCUCCUGUCAGCCAGAUAUCUGUAAAUCACCUCCCUGUCAUGUCCUCUCAGAUUAGAUUAGACCGCACUGGUUUAACCCGCUCUGAUAACAUUUCUUCUAUAAGCAGACUAAUUCAUUUACUAAUUCAUUUUCCUGUAUGACUUAGUAAUAUUGCUAUUAGUAAUAGACUUAGUAAUAUUGCUUACACUAAACGUUUUUAUAAAUAUUAAAUAAAUAUUUUAUACUACAGCGCUAUAACAGCAGCCCUGACAGUAGUGCUGGCUGUAAUUCAAAUCACAGGUUUAUAAUAAUGCUAUUGUUCUGGUACGUUAUCAUUCUAUAGUAACAAUUCAUUCACAGGGACUUGUAUGGUGAACGCUCCAUAUAAUCCAAAGCUAAUAAUAAACAGCUUACACAAACAUGUUAUUUACCAAAGGGAAAACAGCUAACUCUUGAUAUUAUAAAACCUUCUGUUAGAAGCUGUUUAUUUAACAUUUAUGGAAAUAGUGUGCAGCGUCAGCCCUUUGUAAUGAUCAGUAUGUUUUCUGGCACAGGAAAGAGAGAUCUUUACACUUUGCGGUGUCGCAGUAACAUGACAAGCUCCAGUUUUUGUCUUAUUACUUCAAGAGAGAGGAAAAGACACGCUGAAACAAAUUCAUCAAAUAUGUGGAAAAAUUCCAAUCUAAUCCAUGUCAAGACAGUAUGUUGCAUCAAAUGCAGGACUAAGGACCAAAAGAAGAACCUUCUUCUCAUCAGUAUUUCAUCAGGACAGGGAUGCUGCAGAAUGAUGGAUUUCUAGGAGACACAGCAGCCCACAGGGCUAGAGCCACCUUCCUCCUGUUCCUGAUAAGAGCUGGCAUACUGGGCCAAAAGUGCCAGAAGUCCUGCUGCCCUCAAACAACCUAAUCUUAUCUCAGUCUUACUGCAGAGCCCUAGAUUCCCCCUAUAAUGCCCCGCGCCAGGCGAUGCCCUUGAGGAAAGCCGCUCGGACCAGACUGUCUUCUGAUUGGGUGUGAGUCUGUGGCCGUAACCAUGGCGACCGCCCACAGAGCACCUGGAGGAGUGACGCAGGCGUCGUCAUGGCUGCUGAAGGACGACGGGAGGAUGAUAACGAAGAGGAGCACGAGAUCUGGGAGAGAUGUUCCAUGAGGGAGGGGUGUGCCAGCUGUGGCCUCCACACAGACGCGUACACUAAAGCACCACACACAAAUAUUCCUUGAAGGAGUUGAAUAAGAUAGCCAUGGGAAUACUAUCCAGCCUCCCACCACUCCCUCCUUUGCCCUUCGUUUGACUGACUUUGAAAUCUCCCCUACAGCCAAAGUGAGACACGUGGGAGCAGUUCUAGUGUCAAACCACUCAUAAGAACAGAAGUAGGGCACAGCUUGACAUGUUUAUAUUCUGUGCAGCCCAUAUGCAUCAAACGUGUGUGAUCUAGCAUCUGACAUCCCCCGAGUCAUAAGUUCCGGUUUAAUUUUGUAAGGCAGAUAUAAUCGGCAUGAUAUAUGUGACAUGGGCAGCAGGACAUUAACUAGAAUUUUUUUCAAGUAGACAAAAUCUUUCAACCCUGGUCCUGAUAAAUAUAAAUAGCCAAUCUAUAUUUUCAUUUGGACUAUGUUCACUAUUUAUCAUUUAAAAUUGUAUGUUUCGGUGAUUUACACCAAAGAUUGCUAUGAUUAUAUGGUUUAGUAUCCAGCGCAGUACAGUACAGCUUAGAAAAACAAUGUACAAUGGAGCCUAGAUUGUAGAAUAUAAAGAAUAUAUGGUGUAACGCAGCUCAUACCACAGCUCAGCUGAAUUCUCAAAUCCGAUUAGUCUGAAGGUAUUUUCUAUAACAGCAGCUCUGACAGUAGGUCCUGCUGCAAGAUAAAUCACAGGUUUAUACUAAUGCUCUUGUUCUAAUAUGUAAUCAUUUCUAAAGUGACAACUUAUACAGAGAAUUGUAUGAUGGAUGCUUCACAUAAACGGAUUAAAAAUGUGCAUAGUUGUUGAUAUGGUGAGGUUUUCUGUGAAGAGAUGUUUCUUUAAUAUUUUGUAAGGAGUCUCCAGUGUCAGCACUUUGUCAGAAAUAAAGCUGUAACUUUAGGUUUUCAGACACAUGAAAGUCUACAUGACAGAGGUUUUUGCACUUUGCGGUUUGUCAAUAACAUGACUUUUUUUUGUCUUAUUAACUUCAAGAGAGAAGAAAACGAGAGGCUAAUUAGGGAGCAACUGUUUAAAGCAUAAGUGAUAAUAGGAACUAACUUGUUUUUGUGGACAAUCAACAACAUUAAACAUAUCUAUAAACAGUGUAAAAGUGCCAUUCUUUAUGAUGUAUUAUGAACACUAUAAUAUGUAUUAUAGAACUUGUAUUAUAUAUCUUAGAUAAUGGAAUAUGAAAUUUUCUGUAGUAGCACUGAGUAUGGAAGAUGAAUGUAUUUAGUACGUUAUAGCGUAGACUGUGAAAUAUGAAAUGUACCUAGCUUAGAAGGGCAGUGGUGGCUCAAUGGUUAAGGCUCUGGGUUACUGCUCAGAAGGUUGUGGUUCAAGCCCCAGCACUGACAAGCUGCCACUGUUGGGCCCUUGAGCAAGGCCCUUCACCCUCUCUGCUCCAGGGGUGCUGUAUCAUGUCUGACCCCAGCCUCCUAACAAGCUGGGAUACACAAAGAAAAGAAUUUCACUGUGCUGUAAUGUAUAUGUGACAAAAUAAAGGCUUCUUCUU